ACUCUGAACUCUGCAGACACCUGCCCCAGAUGAAUCAAAACAAUUUGCUACAAUGAGGUCCCAUAAACGGGUGAUGUCUAAUUAACAUUUUUCUGGAGGCCAGAACUGCUACUGUAGCUCACCCAGGGUGUGAAGUCAAGAGAGGCAUUUACAGCAGCAAUAACAGCUGAUUUGCCGAUGACCUGGCAAACGGAGCUGAUGGGGCCUGCAGGAGGCUGAGCUGCCAUCCACGCUGCGCUCACUGGGAUGCUGCGUCCUGAGCGACCAACCCGCCUGGAGAAAGCUCUUUGACGCCCUUUGCCGCAUGCCAGCCCGGCCGGAAAACAGGACUCAGCAGACCCCUCCUCCCUGCGCCUCUUCUGCGCAGAAACACACGCUCCUGUCUUAUCCAAGGCUUCCAGAACUUCUGCAGCGGGAGACCCCCAGUCCUACCUCAUGUUUGGGGGAUCCUGCUAGCUAUGGCCCUUACACUUUGCUUCCUGCUGCUCCUGGGGCUGUGUGGGACUACCGUUUCAGAGGGGCUGCCAUCACCCACAAAGAGCCCUGAUGUUUUGGAGUUUGAAUUGCCUGCAAUGAACUAUGAAACCAAAGACUCUUACGAUGCUGGGCCCAUUGGCGGUCUCUUUCAAAUGGUGCGCGUCUUUCUCCACGUGGUACAGCCGAAUCCUUUCCCUGAAGAUACUUUAAGAAAAAUUCUACAAGAGAAGUUUGACAUCUCAGCUGAUUAUGAGAAGCCAGAAAGCGUAAUCUUGAUUCUGAAGAUUAUCUCCUAUGAAAUCGGGAUUAUUAUUUGUGCUGUCCUGGGACUGCUCUUCAUUAUUCUGAUGCCUCUGGUGGGGUUUUGCUUUGGUUUGUGUCGUUGCUGUAACAAGUGUGGUGGAGAAAUGCACCAGCGACAGAAGAAAAACGGGACCUGCCUGAGGAAAUAUUUUGCAGUUUCCCUCUUGGUGAUUUGUAUACUUAUAAGCAUUGGUAUCGUCUAUGGUUUUGUGGCAAAUCACCACCUAAAGACCCGGAUGGAAAGGACUCGGAACCUGACAGACAGCAACUUCAAAGACUUGAGAACCCUCCUGCAUGGGACUCCAGCGCAAAUCGACUAUAUACUGGGCCAGUAUACCACCACCAAGGAAAGGGCAUUCUCAGAUCUGGACAAUAUUAAAUCAUUGCUAGGAAGCGGAAUUCAUGAACAGCUAAAGCCUAAAGUGGUCCCUGUGCUUGAGGACAUCAAGGCCAUGGCAGAAGCAAUCAAAGAGACCAAAGAAGCCCUUUUGAAUGUGAACAGUACCUUAGACCAGCUGAAAAAGUCAACCGCACAACUUAACACCAGCCUGAGUAAAGUUAAAGGGGACCUCGAGCAAUCACUCAAUGACCCCGUGUGCACUGUACCUCCGGCAGCUGCCACUUGCAACGACAUCAGAACGUCUCUAAGCCAGCUGGAUUACAACAACAACUUGGGGCAGCUUCCAUCUUUGGAUGAGCACAUUGAUAGAGUUAACAAUAUUCUUCGAACAAAUUUGUCCAGCCAGGUCCAAAAGGGCUAUAAAUCCUUUAAUGAUAUACCUGAGAUGGUGCAAAACCAAACCACGGACCUGAUAUCAGGUAUCAAAAGUACCUUGAAUUCCAUUGGUUCUAAUAUCGGUAAUAUAAGCAAACAGAUUCCUAUUCAGGAUAAGCUGUCAAAUUUCAUGGAUUACAUUAACAGCACUGAAACUUACAUCCACCGCAGUUUACCCACGUUGGAAGAAUAUGAUUCAUACAGGUGGCUGGGUGGCUUGGUUGCCUGCUGUUUGCUGACUCUCAUCGUGAUUUUUUUUUACCUGGGCUUACUAUGUGGCACCUUUGGCUAUGACCAGAAUGCCACCCCCACCAGACGAGGCUGCAUCUCCAACACCGGAGGCGUCUUCCUCAUGGUCGGGGUUGGAGUAAGUUUUCUGUUUUGCUGGAUAUUGAUGGCCAUCGUGGUUGUUACUUUUGUCGUUGGUGGAAAUGUGGAAAAACUGGUCUGUGAACCUUACCAAAACAGGAAGUUAUUCCAGGUUUUGGACACACCAUAUUUACUCAAUGAGAAUUGGAAAUUCUAUCUCUCUGGCAUGGUAUUUAACAAACCAGAUAUUAAUCUCACUUUUGAACAAGUUUACAGGGAUUGCAAAGAAAACAAAGGCAUUUAUGCCACACUUAAGCUAGAGAACAGCUACAAUAUCAGUGAACAUCUCAACAUUCAAGAAUAUACCGGAAACAUAAUCAAUGAUUUUGAAAACAUGCAAGUAAAUAUUGACAAUGUUGUUCUGCUGGAUGAGGCAGGAAGGAAACACCUUCUGGAUUUCAAUUCUUCAGGAAUAGACAAAAUAGAUUAUGAUGCCUACUUGGCUGCGGUGAAUAAAACUCCCGGAGAACUAAAUCUUUCAUUAUUUGCAGAUAACCUGGAAGCAAAAGCCAAUGAUUUGCCCCAAGGAAACUUGAAACAGUCCUUGAAAAGUACUGCAGAAACUAUUCGAACAAUUUAUCAUGACCAAGUCAUUCCUUUGGAACAAUCAAUGAACACUGCCUACAAAACCAUCCAGGAACUUAAGCACAACAGCAGCGGACUGCCGGCGAGAGUGACCAAUAUCCUCUCCUCUUUGGACUCUGCUCAGGACUUCCUCAUAAAGCAUGUUUCCUCUGUUAUUGUUCAAGAAAUGAAAAAGUAUGGGAAUACAAUAAUAGGAUACUUUGAACACUAUCUGCAGUGGGUCAAGAUCUCUAUCACUGAGCACAUGGCAGCCUGCAAACCCGUGGCCACUGCUUUGGAUUCUGCUGUUGACGUCUUUCUGUGUAGCUACAUUACUGACCCUGUGAAUUUGUUUUGGUUUGGCAUAGGAAAAGCUACCAUAUUUUUACUGCCGGCGAUCAUUUUUGCUGUCAAGUUGGCCAAGUACUAUCGUCGAAUGGACUCAGAGGACGUGUAUGAUGAUGUUGAAACUAUACCCGCGAAAAAUGUGGGAAAUGGGAAUAUUGGUUUUCGUAGACAU
rnacentral:lncRNA from 1 species